UUUCAACGGCCGCGGUACUCUGACCGUGCAAAGGUAGCAUAAUCAUUUGCCUUAUAAUUGAAGGCUAGUAUGAAUGGUUUGACGAAAGCAAAUCUGUCUCCUCUUUACUACUUAGAACUUGACCUUUAGGUGAAGAGGCCUAAAUAUCAUUGAAGGACAAGAAGACCCUGUCGAGCUUAAAAGAACAUGUAGAAGUUAAUAUACUUAAAAAUAAAUAAUCUACUAAGCUUUUUAGUUGGGGCGACUAAGGAACAAAAAAAGCUUCUUAAUUAAAAAAAACCAACAAGUUUAGAUCCAACCAGCUUGAUCAAAGAAAUUAGUUACCGCAGGGAUAACAGCAUAAUCUCUCUUGAGAGACCUAAUCGAAAGGGGGGGUUGUGACCUCGAUGUUGGACUAGAAUAUCCUAAAGAUGCAGAAGUCUUUAAGGGUUGGUCUGUUCGACCAUAAAAAUUCUACGUGAUCU
rnacentral:rRNA from 1 species